rnacentral:rRNA from 1 species
AUUUUUAAAGGGCCGCGGUAUACUGACCGUGCGAAGGUAGCAUAAUCAUUAGUCUUUUAAUUGAAGGCUUGUAUGAAUGGUUGGACAAAAAGUAAUCUGUCUCAGUUAUAAUAGUUGAACUUAACUUUUAAGUGAAAAGGCUUAAAUACUUUAAGGGGACGAUAAGACCCUAUAAAACUUAACAAUAAUUUGAUUAAAUUAUAAAUUGUUAGUAUAACUUGAUUUUAAUUAAUGUUUGUUGCGUUGGGGCGACGGGAAUAUAAUUAGUAACUGUUCUUAAAUAUUUUAUUAACAAGUAUAAUUGAAGAAUAAUUGAUCCUUUAUUAAAGAUUAAAAGAUUAAGUUACUUUAGGGAUAACAGCGUAAUCUUCUUUGAGAGUCCUCAUCGACAAGAAGGUUUGCGACCUCGAUGUUGAAUUAAGGUAUCCUUAUAAUGCAGCAGUUAUAAAGGAAGGUCUGUUCGACCUUUAAAUCCUUACUGAUC